rnacentral:rRNA from 1 species
UUAUUUAGAUAUUUAUUAAAAUCUUUUAUUUAUAUAUUUAUUUAAUAAAAAUAAUUUAAUUUUUAGUAUAUUUUAUAGAAAUAAAAUUAAUAAUUUAAAGUACUGUGUAGGAAUAUAUUUAAAAUCUUUAUAAGAACUAUUUUAUUAGGUACCUUUUGUAUCAGGGUUAAUUAAAUUUUAUUAAUUUAUUAAUUAUUUUCCCGAAAUAAAAAGAUUUAUAAUUAUAUUUUUUAUUUUAUGUCAAAACAAUAUAUAAUAUAAUUAUAGUUGUUAUAUGCUAUUCAUUUUUUAUAUAUCUGGUUUUUUAAUAAUUUAAUUUAAUUAAUAAUUUAAAGUGCAAUUUUUUAAUUUUAUUAUUUAUUCUCUUUUAAUUAAAUCAGUCUAAGGAUAAGCUAAGACUGAUUUCUAUAAUUUUUUAUAAUUUAAUUUUUGUAGGAUUAAUAUUUUCCAUCCUUUAUUUAUUUAUAUAAAAUUUUAAUUUAUUUUUUAUUUUUUACUAUUUAGAUAUUUAUUAAAAUCUUUUAUUUAAUUUUUUGUUUUUUAAUAAUGAUUAAAUUAGUAUAAUUUAAAAUAAAAAUAUAAUAACUCGGCAAAUAUUAUUUUUACCUGUUUAACAAAAACAUGUCUUUUUGUUUUUAAUUUAAAGUCAGGCCUGCCCCAUGAUUUAUUUUAAUGGCCGCAGUAUAUUAACUGUGCAAAGGUAGCAUAAUCAUUUGUUAUUUAAUUGAUAACUGGAAUGAAUGGUUUUAUAAAAAAUAUUCUUUUUUUAUUUUUAAUUUAAAAUUUUAUUUUAAAGUCAAAAAGCUUUAAUUUAUUUAUUAGACGAUAAGACCCUUUAGAACUUUAAUAUUAUUUUGAAUUAUAUUUUUAGUUUUAUAAAUAUAAAUUAUUUAUAUAUUUUUGUUGGGGUGACAGUUAAUUUUUUAAAACUUUAAUUUAUAUUUAUUCAUAUAUUUAUGAUUUUUUUGAUCCAAUAUUUUUGAUUAUAAGAUUAAGUUACCUUAGGGAUAACAGCGUAAUUUUGUUGGAGAGUUCUUAUUAAUAACAAAGUUUGCGACCUCGAUGUUGGAUUAAAAUAAUAUUUUGGUGUAGAAGCUAAUUUUAUUAGUCUGUUCGACUAUUAAUUUUUUACAUGAUCUGAGUUCAAACCGGCGUAAGCCAGGUUGGUUUCUAUCUUUAAUUUUUUAAUAUAAUUUAGUACGAAAGGACCAAUUAUAUAAAUUAUUUUUUAUAUUUGAAUAUAAUU